GCGCGCGCGACGACCUGGGGCGCCGGGACAGGGCCAUCUGCAUCGGAGUCGCCCCUUUCCGCAGCGCUUCUCCCCAAGAAUCGACUGCUUCGGAAGUGACUCGAGCGGAGGGGUGCCUAAACGACUGAGGUUUCCCAUCCGGAAACCACACAGCUCUGUCGCAUCCCUUGACCCUAUCCCCUCUUCUUUAACCGACUGGGAGGUUAGGGGUUUCUGGGAGGUGUCCCCUACACCCACCCUCAUCCUGAGGUGAGGCGCACAGAAAGCCUUCCCGAGGGCGAGGUCGUGUUUUUCCAGUUACAGUGAGGACCUGCAGAGCGAGCCCUUGUCCCCUUCCUCAGGGUCCCCAAGGAGAAAGGUGGGAGAUGCUACGUCAGAAAGCAUCUCUCCAGCUGCCCCUCUGCAGCUCCUGGGGAGGCUCCGGGCGGAAAGAUGUUCAGCAAGUGCCUCUCCCAGAAGAGAGGGGAGAUCAGUAAAGAAAGUGACCCCGAGCUGCGGAGAGUGGGGAGAAGCGGCGGUACAGAGGGGAAAAGAGGCCAGACUUGGAGAAGCAGGAGGCGCUGGGAAUUGCUGGGGCUCAUCGUUAGGGCACUAAAGCAUGGCACAGGCCAGGACCACAAGCUGCUGGAAAGGGGGCUGCAGACUUUUGUGUUUAGAGCAUUAUAUUUUAAAAUAUUUCGAAAGGAGCAUUUUUAAACCAGGAGAUUUCACCUGUAAAGAAAUUGGAUUUCUGGCUUCUUCUGAAAAUGGGAAGAGCUGGGAUGCCCACAGUGGCAGAGGCUUGAGUGCAGUGGCACAAUCUCGGCUCACUGCAACCUCCGCCUCCUGGGUUCAAGUGGUCAUCCCGCCUCAGCCUCCCGAAGUGCUGGGAUUACAGGUGUGAGCCACCACACCUGGCUGCGUAAUGUUUUCAAGGUUCAUCCAAGUUGUAGCAUGUAUCAAAACUUUAUUUAUUUAUUUCUGAGACAGAGUGUUGCUCUGUCACCCAGGCAGGAGUGCGUGGCAUGAUCUCAGCUCACUGCCACCUCCACCUCCCAGAUUUAAGCCAUUCUUGUGCCUCAGCCUCCCUAGUAGCUGGGAUUACUGCAUGCACCCAGCUAAUUUUUGUAUUUUUAGUAGAGAUAGGGUUUUGCCAUAUUGGCCAGGCUUGUCUCAAACUCCUGGCCUCAAGUGAUCUGCCUGCCUCAGCCUCCCAAAGUGCUGCAAUUACAGGCAUGAGCCACAGUGCCCAGCCAAAACUUCAUUCCUUUUUAUGGCCGAAUAAUAUUCCAUUGUAUGUAUAUACCAUGUCUUGUUUAUCCAUUCAUGUGUUGAUGGACACUUGGGUUGUUUCCAUCUUUUGGGCAUUGUGAAAAUGGUGAUACGAAUAUUUGUGUACAAGUAUCCGUUUGAGUGCCUAUUUUUAAUUAUUUUGGGUAUCUACCUAGCAGCAGAAUUGCUGAGUCAUUUGUUUAAUUUUUUCGAGGAAUGACAACAAUGCACGAGGGUUCAAAUUUCUCCAUAUCCUUGCCAACACAUGUUAUUUUCCAUUAAAAAAACUAUAUCCACGCGU
rnacentral:lncRNA from 1 species